rnacentral:rRNA from 1 species
UCAAGUCAUCAUGGCCCUUACGACCAGGGCUACACACGUGCUACAAUGGCAUAUACAAAGAGAAGCGACCUCGCGAGAGCAAGCGGACCUCAUAAAGUAUGUCGUAGUCCGGAUUGGAGUCUGCAACUCGACUCCAUGAAGUCGGAAUCGCUAGUAAUCGUAGAUCAGAAUGCUACGGUGAAUACGUUCCCGGGCCUUGUACACACCGCCCGUCACACCAUGGGAGUGGGUUGCAAAAGAAGUAGGUAGCUUAACCUUCGGGAGGGCGCUUACCACUUUGUGAUUCAUGACUGGGGUGAAGUCGUAACAAGGUAACCGUAGGGGAACCUGCGGUUGGAUCACCUCCUUACCUUAAAGAA